CCUCCCAAUGCUCGAGAGUAAGCGACAAAUAUCCUACCAACAAUUCUUCAUCAAGCUAUGUUUUUGUUCUGAAUCCUAACGUCGAAUGUUCAGAACUUUUUGUGAGAGAUUAUCUUUUGCAAUAUUUUGUCCUGCGUUCAGAAAUUUACUCUUGGAACCUAGCUUUUUUUGCCGUCAUAUGCUUCUUACAGUAAUCCACAUUUCGUGAUUUGAUGCUAUGUUCCUGUAGUAGUAAUCUUGUUCUAAAUGAUAGGGAUCCAUUCAGACUUCAGCCAUUCAUUGUUGGAUUGUGUUCUUAUAGUGGCUCCUGCUGCUGCAUAUGAUUUCUGAAUCUUAUGGGUUACUAUUGAGGCCAUCUAUUGUAGUUUCCUGCUAUGCUUCUUCAUUUCUUUGUUCAUUAAGAAUUGAGGUAAGCUUCUGUGAUAGAUUCUGUCUUGAACUUCUAAAUUUUGAUAGCCAAUCUGCUACUGUUUUCUAAUGCAUCUGAUCUGAAUUGAGUCAAGUUUCUUGGUAUACUAUGUUUAUUUUCUCUCCUAAUUCAGACAGGCUUUAGUUAUGGAUUCAGUUCUAAUUUCCCAAUUCUUAUAGCCAAUUUGUUGUUGUUUUUCUGAUGCAUCUGAAUAUUAUGAUGGAACCUGAUGGCUAACGCAUGGCUACUUUGUGAUGCGUGGCACGCGUUUGGCAGGCAGAAAGUGGAGCCAGAAGCAGCACCGGCGGCAGUUGAGUCUCAAGGAAGGCGUCCUGAGCACGUGAUCGUCCACCACCGACCACAAGAAACAAGGUUUGCUGCUCUGCUCUCCUCUGCUAGAUGUAAAGCGCUGCUGAUGUAUGAUUGGCCGGUUCUGUUCACCUUGCUAGAGUUCCUUGGUAAAAUUAACGAUCUCAAACAAAAUGCAAACUUUGACAUUUACAUAUGAGUUGUACUUUUUCUUCAGUUCAUGAGAGUAUAUUUAUAUGCUCCCUUCAGCAUGGGAUAAUUCUGGGGCAAAAUUGUGUUGUGAGCAGUGAAAUUGCGUGAUUGCUCAUCUUACUAGUGAUUUAUUUUCACAUGUUGUCAUCUUGCCUCCUAACUAGAAACCGCUACACGCACAUAAAACUAGCACUGUCACGUGAUUCUACUUUUUCAGUAGGAGCUGUCAAACAAAAAACACAAGCUUGUAACAUUAAAUGAACUCCUUUAAGUUCUUGUGUUUUUCUGUUCGCACAUUGAAUAAAUUGGGCGUCAUCAAUUACUAACAGAUUCUUCUCUCGGCUUGUAGCUUUCAUGGACUAGUAUACAACUUGACUCACUUCUAAGAAGCUCGUCUGCAAAACUAUGAUGCUGGAUUUUCGUAGUUCAUUUCAUUCACUCUUUUGUACAAUUGGCUAUCAUGGAUGUAAUGUCAUAGUACUGUAGAACAACAUGAUGGACUUGUACAAUAACUUAUUAUGUUAUGUAAACCUGGAAGAUGUAUUAUGUGGUGUUAUAUGAUGGAUGAUUUUAAUUCGACUUGGAGUUUUCUUGAUUUGAAUAUGAAAUAGUGUUGGAUUUAAU
rnacentral:lncRNA from 1 species